rnacentral:sRNA from 1 species
UGGAGAUUUGUAGCCUUUUCUUAGUAA